UUCCUUUUGUCCAAUUGAGCUGAAAAUUGACAUGCUAUACCUUGAAUAUGUCCUGUUUAGGUGUGAAUUAUUUGGGGAUUUUUGGAAUUGUUUUGAUAUGCUUUUGAUUGAAGUUAUUCUGUUUGGACUUUUGAUGUUGCAUUUGACCUAGUUUGACUUGUUUUGGUCAUGAAAUGAAUAUGGUGAAUGAUAUGAGUAUGGGAUCAAUUGCAUUUGUUUUCUAUUUGUGUUAAUUUGGUUUUGGUUGAGAAUCCCUUGCUGUUUAGAUUUUU
rnacentral:lncRNA from 1 species